CACUACUGGAAUGACUCCGCACCAUGUACAGCCAGAGGAAUGAGAAAUUGUGCUCCAUUUGUGUAAAAUAUGUCAAAAUGCAUUCUAUUAUCAUGUAUAACUAAUUAAAACAAUUAAAAAAUAAAAAAGAAGAAAAAAAUUACAAUGAGCUAAAUCUAUAUAGUUUGAGCCUUCUAGGAUAUCCCCACCUCUGUCACAUGCACAUGGAGCACUGUCCACAAGUUUUUACGCUUCUUUACAGUGUCACCAAAUAUAUCAUUAUAUGUAUAUACACAUAUAUGCAGAUAUACAUUAUGUAAUAUUUUGUUCCUUUGGUCUUGUUUUGGGAUCUUCUGAAAAUAGAAUCUCAUACUCUCAUAUACAUUCUUUUGCAGCUUUCCCUCAUGAAGUUGCACCCCUUCAGCUGAACAUCAGGAAGAAGGAAAAACCAGACAAGCUUGAGGGUCAGAAGGACGCUAGGCCUGCUCCAAUCACUCUGGAAGCUGACUAGCCUGCACACACCCACAGCAUGAGGAAACAUCAGCCCUGCUUCAGCGACUUGGGGGCUGGCUAAACAACACACAGUAAAAGAUAAACUGACCAACAGGAUAAAUGGACUGUUUCAUCCUCUAAGACAGCUCUUAUACUGUGAUGUAUUGCUACCCCUUACUUCUAUCAUAUAUAUAGUCAUUUCCUUGGGCUUUACUAAAGGAUUGAUAAAGUCAGAAACAUAGUUAACAAUAUCAGAAAGCUAGCACAUGUACCAGUUCAAACCUGAAAGGCAUUAAAGCUUGGCUUCCAAGCUCAGUAUUUGGAGGAUGGUUUUCUAUUCUUGGUGGAUUCAAAAACUCAAAAGCAUUAUGCCCUUACCUUGUUUAUUGUUUCCAUGUGUGUCUCCCCUUUACAUUAAAACCAUAGAGUCUACUACAGAAGCAGCAGUUUUAAAAAAGACAACAACUAAAAUCAUAAAGUUAAGCCAAGAAGAUAAUAAUUGUCUUUAAUCUAAAGGAUUAAAUAAUGAGCAUCAAAGGGGGUAAUGUUGUAGUCCCCCCCCAAAAAAAAAUAACACUUAAUUUUAACAUAGAAUCCUCUCUCCUAGUCAACAAGAUCUUUUUUUAAAAUGUCAGCAGGAGUUCUGAAGAGCUCAUUGUAGGUUGAGCUCUUUGUUGUAGAGGCCAGGUUUCUCUUUCUUGUGAAAGUUAGGUCCGCAAUCAACUUGUUGAUGUGCAAGUUACUGUUUUCUUAAAAAACUUGUGAAAUCUCUGUCCAGCCUAAGAAAAUGGAACAAAAAGUAUCUGUUAUGUUAACCACCCUGUUUUGUUAACUACCCACUGAGUAUAAAUCUCAAAGAAUAUCCAGACUCUGGAUCCAGAAAUUCUACACUAGCCCCUCUGGACCACUGCAGCUUAAAUAAACCUGCUUCCUGAAAAUUUCUCAGGUGUUCAGACUCAUCUGUCAUAUACCAAAGUCUGCUUGAAAUGCUAGAAUGUCCCCAUUCUUGAAGGGCAUACAGAGACAGUCUCUCUAAAUCUGCCAUAAUAUGAAUUCUAUGCAAGGUCAUUAAUCACAAAAAGCUAAAGGGAGAUGGCACUAUAGUGACCUGCUGGAUGUAAAGUCAAUGUUGUAUGAUAAAACUCACAUUGUAUACAUAUAUUAAAUUAUUGUGAUAUACCCCAUAAAGAUAUGUAAAUGAUACAUCUGAAUUUUUUUAAUCUGUGGGAAAAUGUGAUUUGUUUGAAAUCCGAAUGCCAGGUUUUCAUUUUAUGUUGUUUCUAAUAUGCUGUAAUUAUGUUUAAUGAUAUCAUUACAUUUUUAGAUCCGAAAGACAUCAGCAUUUUAUAUUGUAAAGAGGAUUUUGUUAGUAAAAGGGGUAUGUUAGAGAUUAGAAUGUAUGCUUUGCCACUUUAAAAGUUAACAUGUUGAAUUAAAUACUUGAAUUAGUGUUAUGUUCCAUCUUCUCCUAUGCAAAUUUUUAAAAUAUUUUGUUUUUUGAUGUUUAGGUACACAUUACAAUAGAGUGUAUUUUGACAUAUUAUACAUACAUGGCGUAUAACUUAUUCUACUUAGGAUCCCAUUCUUGCAGUUGUACAUGUUUUGGAAUUACUGGUAAUGUAUUCAUAUAUAAACAUCUUGACUUAAUAUAACUUUAUUUUUAAAUUUAUGUGUAGCCUAAAUUUUUAAAAAUAAUUCAUAUGUUUUGAAACUGAUUGGAUAAUUC
rnacentral:lncRNA from 1 species